GAUGAACGCUAGCGGCAGGCCUAAUACAUGCAAGUCGGACGGGAUCGGGGAGCUUGCUCCCCGUGAGAGUGGCGCACGGGUGCGUAACACGUAUGUAACCUACCUUUAUCAGGGGGAUAGCCUCUCGAAAGAGAGAUUAACACCGCAUAACAUCACAUGAUAGCAUUAUCGAGUGAUCAAAUAUUCAUAGGAUAAAGAUGGGCAUGCGGGACAUUAGCUAGUUGGCGGGGUAACGGCCCACCAAGGCGACGAUGUCUAGGGGAUCUGAGAGGAUGACCCCCCACACUGGUACGGAGACACGGACCAGACUCCUACGGGAGGCAGCAGUAAGGAAUAUUGGUCAAUGGACGCAAGUCUGAACCAGCCAUGCCGCGUGCAGGAGGACGGCCCUACGGGUUGUAAACUGCUUUUGUACCGGAAUAAACCCUUUUACGUGUAAGAGGCUGAAUGUACGGUAAGAAUAAGGAUCGGCUAACUCCGUGCCAGCCGCCGCCGUAAGAC
rnacentral:rRNA from 1 species